rnacentral:snoRNA from 1 species
GCAUCCAGUGCCGAGCCUAGUUCAGGGCUGCUUCCUUCUGGUCAUUUAUUUUGGGGGACAUUAAGACACAGGCUGUGGGAGAUGAUUGGAAAGAAGGUUAUUUCAUUCCCAGCCUACAAAA